UACGAACCGUGCGAACGUUGUUCGGAAUCACUGGGCUUAAAGGGCGCGUAGGCGGCCUAUCAAGUCCGGGGUGAAAGCCCCCAGCUUAACUGGGGAAGUGCCUUGGAUACUGGUGUGCUCGAGGGAGGUAGGGGUCGAGGGAACUUCUGGUGGAGCGGUGAAAUGCGUUGAUAUCAGAAGGAACGCCGGUGGCGAAAGCGAUCGACUGGACCUUUUCUGACGCUGAGGCGCGAAAGCUAGGGGAGCAAACGGG
rnacentral:rRNA from 1 species